rnacentral:sRNA from 1 species
UAAAGUUUCUUCUCAAAAGCAAACAAUCAUGGUCCACGAGACGUUGUUUUUCAAAAUUAAAUGCGGUGACACUAAAUACAAUAUUGGUUGUAAACUCUACUCGUUUAUCUUUUUUGGCUGACUUGUGUAUGAAUCAAAUGAAAACAUUUCCUUCAACUGCUAAAAAAGUAACGGUUAGCAUUUAAUCAGUGUAUUUAAAACAAGUAAAUAUAUCAUAGUUAUGCUAGGAAGAGAAUCUUAAGUGUAAAUCUAAUGAUAUGGAUGGUAAAAAUUGUCAUUAAU